UUGAUCAUGGCUCAGGAUGAACGCUAGCGGGAGGCCUAACACAUGCAAGCCGAGCGGUAUUUCUUCUUCGGAAGGAAGAGAGCGGCGUACGGGUGCGUAACACGUGUGCAACCUGCCUUUAUCUGGGGAAUAGCCUUCCGAAAGGGAGAUUAAUACCCCGUAAUAUAUUGAGUGGCAUCAUUUAAUAUUGAAAACUCCGGUGGAUAAAGAUGGGCACGCGCAAGAUUAGAUAGUUGGUGAGGUAACGGCUCACCAAGUCAAUGAUCUUUAGGGGUCCUGAGAGGGAGAUCCCCCACACUGGUACUGAGACACGGACCAGACUCCUACGGGAGGCAGCAGUGAGGAAUAUUGGACAAUGGGUGAAAGCCUGAUCCAGCCAUCCCGCGUGAAGGAUGACGGUCCUAUGGAUUGUAAACUUCUUUUGUACAGGGAUAAACCUUCCUACGUGUAGGAAGCUGAAGGUACUGUACGAAUAAGCACCGGCUAACUCCGUGCCAGCAGCCGCGGUAAUACGGAGGGUGCAAGCGUUAUCCGGAUUUAUUGGGUUUAAAGGGUCCGUAGGCGGGCCGAUAAGUCAGUGGUGAA
rnacentral:rRNA from 1 species